GAGAAUAGGUAAAGAAGACAAGGGGUGGCUGUGAGUGAAGCGCCGCUCCUCGAGCCUUCGCUCCGCGAGCAGCCGCCUCUGUUCCUCGCCUUCCUCCGCACGCCGCCGCCUCUGCUCCGCGAGCCGCCGCCUCUGCUCCUCGAGCUGCCGCCUCUGCUCCUCGACCUCCUAGGCACGCCGCUGCGCCACAAAGCUUUGGGAGCUGUCACCUCCGUCAUGAGCCGCCGCUACGUCCACGCACAGCAGCACAGGUGCCGCCGCUACGGCCACGCACCGUAGGCACUCACCCGUGCAGCAGCGCCCCUUGCUGAGGGACUGCCCCAGUGCCCCUUGCUGCCGGACUGCUCCUCUAGGCCACAGGAGCAGCGGCGACAUGCAGCCUCGCGGCGCCGGCGAGCGGCCCUACCGAGCGUGGCCACGAUAGGUGCGGGCCGCGGUCGGUGUGCUACGUCCGCAACCGUUCGACCUUGCAGAGCGCCUGGACCCGCGGAGGAAGUCGCCGCGAUCCAAGAGGACGUUAGCCCGCCACGACCUUGAGGUGAUACCUUCGCCAGCAACGGGGAUGUUAGCGAUCCACGACCGUGUCGUGGUCCUCUACGCGGCGGAUGCGUUCCUGCAACGUCCGGUGUCCAAGUCUGAAGUCUGUCAAGUCGAGAGAUGGGUAGUCAGCCCACGAACGGAAGACAACGUAGUAGACUGCCACCGAACAAAAACUGUCUGACCUAUCAGCUUUAAAAAUCAUACGUUAGUUAAAUCUAUCAAGUAAAAAAGUGUACUGUUAAAACAACACAAGUGAACACACGUUCUACACCUUCUACUUAGGGGAUCCUGAAAACAUAUGGUACCGUUAAAUUCAAGUACCUUCGUAACGUUAAAAUCAAAUGUUUGUAGUGACUAAUCAGGUAGAAAGUGUACCG
rnacentral:rRNA from 1 species